GACAGAGGAUGCAAACGUUGUUCGGAAUUACUGGGCGUAAAGCGCGUGUAGGCGGCUUCGCAAGUCGGAUGUGAAAUCCCACGGCUCAACCGUGGAAGUGCAUUCGAAACUGCAAGGCUAGAGUUCUGGAGAGGAAGGUGGAAUGCUUGGUGUAGAGGUGAAAUUCGUAGAUAUCAAGCGGAACACCGGUGGCGAAGGCGGCCUUCUGGACAGUAACUGACGCUGAGACGCGAAAGCGUGGGGAGCAAACAGG
rnacentral:rRNA from 1 species